GACGAACGCUGGCGGCGUGCCUAACACAUGCAAGUCGAGCGAGGAGAUUCCCUUCGGGGAUGAACCUAGCGGCGGACGGGUGAGUAACACGUGGGCAACCUACCUUAUAGAGGGGAAUAGCCUUCCGAAAGGAAGAUUAAUACCGCAUAAGAUUGCAUCUUCGCAUGAAGAAGUAAUUAAAGGAGUAAUCCGCUAUAAGAUGGGCCCGCGGCGCAUUAGCUAGUUGGUGAGGUAACGGCUCACCAAGGCGACGAUGCGUAGCCGACCUGAGAGGGGGAGCGGCCACAUUGGGAAUGAGACACGGCCCAGACUCCUACGGGAGGCAGCAGUGGGGAAUAUUGCACAAUGGGGGAAACCCUGAUGCAGCAACGCCGCGUGAGUGAUGAAGGUCUUCGGAUCGUAAAGCUCUGUCUUCAGGGACGAUAAUGACGGUACCUGAGGAGGAAGCCACGGCUAACUACGUGCCAGCCGCCGCAGUAA
rnacentral:rRNA from 1 species